AAUCUCCCCGUGCAUAGUUUUACUGGAACCCUAGAAUGUGGAUUUCCAGCAACUUACAGAGGGCAUAUUUCCAGAAAGUUCCACCAUGAGACACCACAGCAGCUUCUUUACCAUCCAGUGAGCCACAGUCAUGCUCUUUUCAACCGGGUCUGGACCUCAGUCCUGUGGGCAGGGAGGGGGAGGUCUUCUUUUCAACUGGAGGGUUAGCAGCUCUCCUUAUUUCUGCUAACUGUGUGUUUUGGCAUUCUCUUUACUUGUCGCUGGCCAUUCCUUCCUUACUCUAAUCCUCUUUCAUAAUUAAUAGUUUUUUCAUUACACUUUCCAUGCUCAAAUUACUGUUUGUUUUUCUUCUGGUUGGACCCAGAAUAAUAACUAAAUAAUCUAAUAUUAGUGUGUUAUUGUUUUAUUUUAAAACCCAUUUUUCACAUUUUUUUGUUUCUACAUCAUUAUUUUAAUGGUUUCAUAGUAGUCCAUGUAGUAGUAAAUACUUCAUGCCUAUUGUUAUACAGUUUAUAAUAUAUGUUUUCAUUUUCACAAUUGUAGACAAUGCUUUAGUGAACAUCUUGGUACACAUCCUUUGCUCCUAUCCAUAAUGAUUUUCAUUAGUUCUCAGUCAUUUGGACAUUUUAGUCAGAGGCAAAUGAUGAACACACCACGUAAAGUGCUUUAUAUAUAUCCAGGGGAAUACUGAACAUAUUAUUUAGUGCCAUAGCAAAACAUCAGAAAAAAGUGAGAAAUCAUGAUUUUUAUUGUCUUCUGCCAAACUCUCAUAGCAAGAAUCUGAAAAAUCUCUGGUGAAACACAACUGAAACUAGAUUUGAGAUUGAGCCAUUAAAUCCCAGUUAUCACCAAUCACUUCUGGCUGCUUCUGAUUAAACACUUUCUUUGUGUUUACGAUUGGGGAAUCCACCUCAUGAAAAGAAUGGCAAAUGGGAAAGAAGUAAAUGAUUCAGAAUAUCUUGGUCGUUCCUGGGAGAGAGUGCUCUGACAAAGCAAACGGUUUACCUGAAUGUCUUAAGCAAACUGACCUUGGCUGAUUUCCUGUGCUUACAGAAAAGAACUGCUGUAGCUUCAGCUGGAAACCCUAAGCCAGUGGCUCAGUGGUGGUUUUUUUGACGUGCCUGCGUCACAGAUGAAGACACUGAGGAAGAGAAAAGUUAAGAAUUUGCCUAUGAUCAGUUAUCCAUCUGUUCAGCCAGUGCACAAAUUACACUGCCCAACUCCAAGAUCAGGAGAAUCUUGGUACGAGGACCACACAAUGAAGAACUUGGAGUCCCCGUGGCUAGUCCAGCAGAGAGAAAAGGAGAAACAGAGAUGCGAGAGAAAAUAAAGGGAACUCUUGGUGCAAUUUGGUGCUGCUGCAGGCCCAAGUCCAGAAGUCUGCUAUAAAUCUUAUACUUCUUUCUUCAUAGCAACCGAAGCAGCAGCCCAUCUUCAUGGGAUCAGCUAUGGCUGAAGUAGGAGAUGGAAACAUUACCAUUGAAAAAGAAGGUACAAGAAGAGCCAGAUUUAUGGGCAUGCACCUAGUGCAUCCACUCAGACCCAGACAGAAGGACUACACACUUGGUUUAAUGCUCUAUUGUUGCCAUCUUGAAAUUCUGAAGAAUUUUUGAAUAAGCAGCACUGCAUUUUCAUUUUUCACUGAGUAUGCAUAGCCAUAAAUAAAGUCAAACCUGUUGGUGAUGUCAAUCUGGAAAACUCCUAUCUGGGUCAAGGAGAGACUGACUGGGCAUGGCUGCCAGGCAUGUGCUUAAAUGAAUACUUGGAGAGACCAUAUAUAAAAUAGAUAAACAACAAAGAUUUACUGUCUAGCAUAGGGAAAUAUAUUCAGUAUCACAUAAUAACCUAUCCAUUAACCAUUCCAUUAACCUAUAAUGGAAAAGAACUGAGAAAAAAGAAUAUAUAUUAAUUUAUUCAUACAAAUGUAUAACCGAAUCACUUUGCUGUACACCUGAAACUAACACAAUAUUGUAAAUCAAAUACACUUCAAUUAAAGAAAAGAAUACUUGGAGAGAACAUGACUAUUCUCUGAAACUUGGAAUAAGCCUAUGACCCUGGGUUUUAUUCCUUUCCAGUACAGCUUGUCUGUUCUGAAGAGAUUUUGACUGGCAAAUAGUGAAGAGACCCUUCUUUACUUGAUAAAAGCAAACAAAUAAAUACCAACAAUAACCAGAAAAAAGGAGGAUGGGCAAUAUCAAUAUUAAAAUGGACAAAUUCAUGAUCCACAAAGAAUAUAUAAUAAUAUGAAUAGCAAACACUUUUAGAAUAAUGAGAAGAUGAUUAAUAUUGGUCUUAUAAUGUAAGUGGAAAUCUUUGACUCAUCUCUCAAAAUGAUUUUAAGCAAGUCCAUAGAAAACUUUAAAAAUGGUAUCGAUUUUGAAGAGUGUAAGUACAAGUCUGAAUUAAUAGGUUUAUACUGAAAUUUAAAAUUAGACUAAAUAGACAUGCAAAGAGCUCCCAAAUAUCUGAAAAACAUUCAAAAUUUAUGUUCUCAAAGCAAUAAACUUUAAUCAGUUAUUAAAAAUAGAAAAAACCCACAGUUUCUGGCCUCAGUGCAAUAACUUGAGAAAUUAAUAAGCUUAAUAACACAAUAACAAGUAGGAAAUUAUAAUAUAGAACUCAUUUAAAUAGCUCUAAUUACUCUGAAAGAAAGCAAAAUUACAAUGCCUAUUUAGAAAUUAAGUACUUACAGAACCAAACAUAACAAAGUAUAUAAAAUAUACUAAACCUUUACUCAAAGAGAACAUGAAAAGCUAUAAAUCCUUUCAUUAUUAAGAAGAGAGAGUAUAUAUAUAACAAUUAUUAAAUUUCAGUGGAUUUAUUGUGAAAAUGGACAUGAAAUUAGAUGAAGCUAGAAACAGAUAACACUCCAUGAGAGCUUAAUACAUGACAAGACGUUUCUAUAAAUAUUGCUGGGAUUAUCAAUCUCAGUCUUGAAUGAUACUAUUAUGAGCCUUAUUUCACCUAUGAAGAAACUCAGGCACAGAGAUGUUAAGUAACCUUUCCAAGUAACUUGCCCAAGGUCACACAGAUGUGUAAAUGGAAGAGCUAGUUUAUGAAUAAAGUCAGUGUAGAACCAUAACCUGGGCUCUUAACCUCUAUGCUCCACCCCUUUGUAUAAUAAAAUAGCUCAUACUGACAUAUGAUUACUACUCACCAAGCCCUAGUCUGAGUGUUUUACAUGUUUUAUUGAAAGACAAAAUAGGUCAAAAAAAUAUGAAAUCAAAGUGCAUUUGACUGUUAUGCUGUACCCACAUGGACAGAAAUUCUGUUCUUUUUAUCUUAAUUUCACUCUUUGGGGACAUAAACUAUUGUUCAAUAAGUUUUAUUUUAAGCUGUGAAGGACAUUUGAGCUGUUCCUUCUGACCCUAGCUGUGUGUGUUUGUUUGUUUGUGUUUUGGCAGGUGGGAGAGGGAGAUACAUUAGGAGUAGAUAUAAAUUAAAGCCUCAUAGAAUCAAUGAGAGACAGCAAUACUGAAAUUAUAACAAGGCACAUGUCCAUGGAUGCUGGAAAGCAGAAAUUAAGGGUAAGGACAUGCAACAGCUUUAUACUAUUCAAGAUGUCACCAGCAGUCCCUCUGCCAAGAUCACAGGUGCCAUGCUAGAGCUACCAGGGCAAUUACUGCUGUCAUGAUAGUAAUGACACAACAAAACAAAACUCUCCCAAUUCUUGAGCCAAAUGUCCCACUUUGAAAAGCCACAUAGAAAGGGUGAAUGUGCAUUUGGUUAAGCUUGAGUCACAUGUCUGACCAUAGCCCGCAAAGAAGGAUCUGCCCUCUCUACUUCAUAUGAGGCACUAAGGUGAGAAAUAUAUAAUGGGCAUGGGAAUCCUCCUCUGUCAGCACCACAAACAGGGUAAUAGAGGACUGUCUGGCAAGCAGGCCAUCCUGACAGCACACAUACAAAAAAAAACUCACAUUCACAUGAUUGCUUGUUUGCUUCUCUUGCUUUUCCAUGAGUUUCACAAAAGUAGAAACUAUUCCACAGUUUUCAUCAUCUGUUACCUAAAUCAUUUCUGUCUUGAAUUUAUUAGGCAUUUAAUAUAAGCACUUUGACAGAAUUGAUGAGUAUUUAAAAGAAUGAAUGAAUGAAUAAAUGAAUAAUCAAAAGUAUGUUUCUUUCUAGAAGUUUAGAGUCUACCUCUACCAAACAAACAAGGCACAGCAAUUAGAGAUACCAAAGCAUAACAACAUAUACAAUUUAAUACAUAUCUUCUUCUUUACAACCCAUAGUUGACCAGAACAAUGUAGUUUGCCUUGACUGUCAUCAAAAUUAAGAGAAAAAUCUAUUCACGCCGAAAGACAGCAAAACAUGUUAAUAUAUUGCUCAUGUGUUGUUUACAUCAUGAACCAUUUCCUGCAAAAUGAAGAAUGACAAAUUACAAAUUACAUGACCUUUGAAAUACACUAUCAUUCAUGGCAAGCCUUCCUUCAAGGAUUUUAAGUAGUAGGAUAAAUAGGUUGUCAAAAAAAAAAAGAAGCGACUUAUAAAACGGUCAUCUAGUUGAGUGGCAGGUUUUUGUAUGAACACUUUUUUGAAUAAGAAUGCCGAGUUUCAUAUAUAUAUAUAUAUAUAUAUACACACACACAUACAAAUAUAUAUAUACAAAUAUAUAUAUUUUUGUAUAUAUAUACAUAAUUUGUGUAUAUAUAUAUAUAUACACAAAUAUAUAUAUAUAUUUUUUAAUGAUCAUGGGUACUAACUCUAAAUCCUUACAGAGAAAAAAACCAUGCAGAAAAGAUUAUCGUUUUGAAAAUGUGAAGUUAGUUCAUAUCUUGCUUCAUGUUGUAAAUAUAUUGAGCUUGAAUUUGCACAAGGACUGGAUUUGAAAGGAAAAGUUUAAGAUUAUCAUGCCAUUUCUUAGAAUCAAAUCAAGAGAAAGAAAUUUUUUCUUUGUCCAGUUGGGAGUGGGAGGUGCAUGAAUGAAUUCUUUCUAAAUUCCUUUUAAAAUAAUUUUUCAAUAAAAUUUAUGUAAAAUUCACACUCAGGGAAAAAGCAAACAGUGAAACUGUGGAAAAAUAAAAUGGGAAAGAUGGAAACCAUGAUUUCAAAGUUCUUUAGUGACACUGUAUAGAAAGUGUAUAUAAACAAAUAAUGUGUAAUGCUUUGUACUAGUAUAUAGCUCUAGGAGUAUUUUGAUCCAAAAAAAGUCCUUGUUUUAUAGAAAUCCAUGAAAUUUGAGUUCUGCUUUAAGGAAUUUACAGUGAAAACCUUGAAAUUGCCUUGAGGAUGAAUUAAAUUAAUUCAUUAUGUCAAAAUUUGAGGAAGAGAUUUCAUAAAUGGAACAGGAGAAUUCAUUUUACUUAUUUUACUGGCUCAGAAGAACACACACAUGAAUUUUGAAAAUUUGAAUGACAAGAAAAAUUGUUCCUUUGAGAACUCACUUGACAUCCUCUUUCUUUUUGAUUACUUUGGAGACCUAAUAUAAAUUCACAGACAUAUUUUCAACCAUAAAAUCUAUCUUUUGAUAGAUUUCUUAAAGUGGCUUCCAGUUUAUAAUGAAUAAUUUGUGCCUUAAAAUGUAAUGUGUGGGCUUCUCUGGUGGCGCAUUGGUUGAGAGUCCGCCUGUCGGUGCAGGGGACAUGGGUUCGUGCCCCGGUCUGGGAGGAUACCACAUGCCGCGGAGUGGCUGGGCCCGUGAGCCAUGGCCGCUGAGCCUGCACGUCCAGAGCCUGUGCUCCGCAACGGGAGAGGCCGCAACGGUGAGAGGCCCGCGUACCGCAAAAAAAAAAAAAAAAUGUAAUGUGUGAAGAGACAGUUUUUGCCCCACGUAGGGCAGUGGAAUUGGUUGUUUGGUAGACUUAGGGAUAAACGGUGCAGAAGGGAUGUUCAGAAAGAUCUUGAAAGCUGUUGGUUGUCAAGUAAAUGCACACGUGGCCUCAACACCAGAGCAUCACGUGCCUUGGUGAUCCCUGACCCCUGGAACUGGAGCUGGUGUUUCAACCAUUUUACUCUAAUUCAAUAUUAAUAAAUUUCUUCUUCUGUUAGUUUGA